GAUGAACGCUGGCGGCGUGCCUAAUACAUGCAAGUCGAGCGAACGGACGAGAAGCUUGCUUCUCUGAUGUUAGCGGCGGACGGGUGAGUAACACGUGGAUAACCUACCUAUAAGACUGGGAUAACUUCGGGAAACCGGAGCUAAUACCGGGUGAUAUUUUGAACCGCAUGGUUCAAAAGUGAAAGACGGUCUUGCUGUCACUUAUAGAUGGAUCCGCGCUGCAUUAGCUAGUUGGUAAGGUAACGGCUUACCAAGGCAACGAUGCAUAGCCGACCUGAGAGGGUGAUCGGCCACACUGGAACUGAGACACGGUCCAGACUCCUACGGGAGGCAGCAGUAGGGAAUCUUCCGCAAUGGGCGAAAGCCUGACGGAGCAACGCCGCGUGAGUGAUGAAGGUCUUCGGAUCGUAAAACUCUGUUAUUAGGGAAGAACAUAUGUGUAAGUAACUGUGCACAUCUUGACGGUACCUAAUCAGAAAGCCACGGCUAACUACGUGCCAGCAGCCGCGGUAAUACGUAGGUGGCAAGCGUUAUCCGGAAUUAUUGGGCGUAAAGCGCGCGUAGGCGGUUUUUUAAGUCUGAUGUGAAAGCCCACGGCUCAACCGUGGAGGGUCAUUGGAAACUGGAAAACUUGAGUGCAGAAGAGGAAAGUGGAAUUCCAUGUGUAGCGGUGAAAUGCGCAGAGAUAUGGAGGAACACCAGUGGCGAAGGCGACUUUCAGGUCUGUAACUGACGCUGAUGUGCGAAAGCGUGGGGAUCAAACAGGAUUAGAUACCCUGGUAGUCCACGCCGUAAACGAUGAGUGCUAAGUGUUAGGGGGUUUCCGCCCCUUAGUGCUGCAGCUAACGCAUUAAGCACUCCGCCUGGGGAGUACGACCGCAAGGUUGAAACUCAAAGGAAUUGACGGGGACCCGCACAAGCGGUGGAGCAUGUGGUUUAAUUCGAAGCAACGCGAAGAACCUUACCAAAUCUUGACAUCCUUUGACAACUCUAGAGAUAGAGCCUUCCCCUUCGGGGGACAAAGUGACAGGUGGUGCGUGGUUGUCGUCAGCUCGUGUCGUGAGAUGUUGGGUUAAGUCCCGCAACGAGCGCAACCCUUAAGCUUAGUUGCCAUCAUUAAGUUGGGCACUCUAAGUUGACUGCCGGUGACAAACCGGAGGAAGGUGGGGAUGACGUCAAAUCAUCAUGCCCCUUAUGAUUUGGGCUACACACGUGCUACAAUGGACAAUACAAAGGGCAGCGAAACCGCGAGGUCAAGCAAAUCCCAUAAAGUUGUUCUCAGUUCGGAUUGUAGUCUGCAACUCGACUACAUGAAGCUGGAAUCGCUAGUAAUCGUAGAUCAGCAUGCUACGGUGAAUACGUUCCCGGGUCU
rnacentral:rRNA from 1 species